GUCUUAGUUACAUGGAAGAUGUGGAGAAAGCAUAAGGACAAUAAGGCCAUGGACCAGACAACAAACACCUCAGUGCAGGACCCAUUUCCUGCCAAUGGUGAUGAUGUGACUUACAGCACUGUUGUCCCCAAGAGGAGGAACCAGCUAAAUGUACAGACCAAGGCAGAACCAGAUGAUAAUGUGGUCUACAGCUCACUAUCCCUACAGCUGGACCCAUUUCC